CCCAUACAGCUUAAAAGGUUAAUACCUCGGUAGUUAUUUGCAUCAUUAACGUCUCCCUUGUUUUUAUAAAGAGGUAUUAUAACGCCAGUGAGCCACUCCGAUGGAAAGACACCUGUGUCAAGGAUCUUAUUGAAUAGUUCAACAUAUAAAGGGCAGAGUAAGUCUUGUGUACAUUUUAUAUAUUCAUUAAUGAUGUUGUCACUACCAGGAGACUUGCCUUUUUUCAGUUUAGCAAUACAACGCUUUAUCUCCGCACGUGUUAUAGGGUUGUUAAGUGCGGGCGAGUCAGCGUCACUAAGUUUCAUAAGCAGUUCUCUCGUUUGCAUUACUAUCGUCGUCCUCUGCGUAGAGCAAUUUAAAGUGGUCAUAAAAUUUAUCGAGUGGUAUUUGAUUAUUUUUCUCUACUUUGCUACUUUUUAGAAUCUUCCAGUAUGCCUUUGGGUCUUUAGUUUUGUUUGCUCUUAAUUGGUGAAGUAUAUUACUAUUACCUUUAUUCCUUACUCUCUUUAGCUCGCUUUUAUAGUUCGUACUUUUUUAAGCAGUGUCUCAAUUAUCUUAUCCCCAGUCUCCUCCUUGUGCACAUUACAAAUCAUGAUCUUUGGCCUCAGUUUUCCCACACUUUUAGUACUGACUUUCUCCACAGAUUGCAAUUUUUGGGCUGCCUCAUUCCUCAUAUUAUCAUCAUCAAAGUUCAUUAUAAUAUUACCUCCAAUAGUGAAUCUUGAAUCAGUAAUCUGAAUGUCACGUAAUGCUUCAGAAACUUCACCUUUCAACUCUGGAGCCUUUUUAUCUUGUUCAAAGGCCUUCACAACAAGUAAGUUCUUCUUAACUUUCCUCUUACGUUUGAUGACCUCAGCCCAAGUUGCAUCUGCUGACUCCACAUGCUCGGCUCGCUGCAACACGUCUGCCACAUCCUGCGCCACCUCCCCCAGCUCCUCCUUCACGCUGACCGCUCGUGACUAAACUUCUUGUUUCACUUCUGAUAUUUCCUUAGACAAUUCCAGCUUGAAUUCUUCCACUUUUUCCACAAUUUUGGUAGCCAGAGAUGCUUUAUGAAGGCAUGGGUUGCAAAUCCAAUUUACUUUAGAUAUAUUCUCCGACUUAAUUCCAGGCAGAUGAGCACACUUCAGAUGACACCACUUAGGGCACAGACAGCACCCUAUCCACUUGUCGCCUGUGGGAUCCGCACAAACGUAACAGAACUCCACCGAGUUCUUGGCUCGGCCAGCCAUGUCGACUCAGCGCUUUCGCAAGCAAGGCGCAGCACCUCCGACCCACGCGGCGACUCACCUCUCACUCCAUUCAGAUGCAGGACAAACAACAUGCAACUAAAAGACAGAAACACACCGGCAAGAGGAAACCAAGUGCGACAUGUGUGAAGCUGAAAACGAAGACCUGCGACACUUCCUGCUCUGGUGCCCGGCCUGUGCAGAGGAAAGGAAAAAGUGUGCGAGGCUGCAGCGGCCUUACGAGGAAGAAGAAGAGGACGACACCAUUGGAAAAUUAUUUGAAAAUGAACACACCGAAGAAACAAAAGCAACAGUACACAAGUUUUGGACAAUAAGAGAAAAAGGAAAAUAAUAGGCCCAGACAGUAGACCGAUUCCUACUACUAAUAAAAGACAGAAAAAAGGGCGGGAAUAAGAGGAGGCACAAUAACAAGCGACGAAGUAAGAAAAGAAGUUAGAGCAUGGGACACAAAAAUGUGGACACAAGAAAUUCAAGAAAAAGCAACCCUGAAAAUAUAUAGAACCUGCUGGAGAGAAGAGAUGGGAGGACAAGAGGAUCAGUGUACGACAACAGUGAAGCAUCAGCCAUCCUCGUCACUGCAGAACAAAUAACAUGAGGCUGAGAGAUAGGAAAAGAUUUAACAACGAGAGUACGGCGUGCACCAUGUGUGGAGACGAGCUGGAGGACCUGAGGCACUUGAUCAUCCUGCACUGCCCGGCCCACGACGAGGAGAGAGGCAGCAUCCCAGCGUCCAUACCACCAGGACGAGGAGGACCAUCGGAAGAGCUCUUUUUGAAAAUGGAGACGGUAAAGGCAGUACUAUAUAAAUUUUGGCAAAAAAAGAGAAAAGAAACGAAAGGAAGAGGAGACGUAAAGAAAUCUAGAAACUCAAAAGACCCAGACCGAGAAAGACCACAGACCCAGAGAAAGCUACAUUAGGGUUAACAGCCUCAGUUUGCACCAAGGAGACUAUAGAACAGGAGAGGGGGCCUCUAUGGGAGACCGUGGGCGGGUGUUGGUGUAUGUCGGUUGCAACAGAUGGCGCAGGAGCAGCUUUGUUUACAUUCAGGCGCCUCCCCCCCUCCAGACCCACCCCCCUAACCCCCAGAACCAAUCAGCAGUGUUGCUACAUGGGAUCAAGCAGCAAAUGUUGCUACUUUUUUCUUCAGUCUGGUUAUUUCCCAUUUAAAAAAAAAAAAAGGUAGAUAAAUAUUAAAAUGAACAGUAGGAACUAUAUAUACUGUAUAUAUUUACUAGGUAGAUAUAGCCUGACUGCAUGUCAUGAGUAAUGCUAUUAUUGUUAUAUUAUUAUACCGCAAUUAUAUUACUUUCUCUGCAUGUGUGGUUAGAUGUGUUUUAUGUGUUUAACCUUUCUGUAUACAUACUGGAAUGAACCAAGGAAUUGUAGCCCUACUGCCGUUCUUUAAAAACUAUGUGAUCAUGUUUUUCUUCCAAACUCAUUGUUUUAGCACGCACGCUGACUUCCACCAGUAAUGAUGAUAUAUAGACAUUGAGUCAUUGGUUUGUAGGGGGAAAGAGUGGGUGAAUAUAAUUAUCUCGGUCUAACUUAUACUGUUUAUUAUACGGUAUAAUAAACAGUAUAAGUUAGACCGAGAUAAUUAUAGCGGUAUAAUUUAUACCGCUAUUCGCAGCAAUAUCUUUCUCUGCUCCGAUUGCAACGCUGCCUCGUUCAAAAAUCAUAACACCGCCGCGGCCGCCACGUUUACCAGCCGGAGCCUCAAAUCAUGUCCCUUUGUGGUGAUAAAGAGGACACAGCCUGGUGUGAAGCUACAUUUAUUACGGAAGGAUGCCAGCCGGGAUCCGAACACGUCCGAUAUCAUCCAAGAGAAUGUGGCAGCUGAAGGGGGAGAGGCCAAGAAAGAGGCCAAGGGUGAAGACAUUUAGCCACCCCCCCUGAAGUACAUGGCAUCAUUCAACCCUCUUGGUGAGCUGCAGGAAUGUGCUUCUCAUUGCAGUGCACCAGCUCCAUGUACUGAUUUUGGUGUGAACUUGAUGGGGUUGGAGGAAACUCGACUCGGCCAUCAAGCUCACCACAAUAUAACAUGAAAAGUGAAAAUUGCUGCACACACCAGUCUGUCGUCUGCACCGGGAGGCAAGGCAGCUCAAAGCCCAGGCUGUUACAAAUCCUGGGCAGUUUUUGCCCAGAGCCAGCAAUUUUUUAGAUCCAAUAGGGAUGGAUUUUUUCUGAGGUCAGGUUCAACAUGCUGCAAGAUGCCAAGAUCUAAGCCUAGUAGGAGAUAUGGGUUACAAGAGAGGAGGUUUGCUCUGGCCUUAUACUAUCAAAGUCCAAAUGCUAAUAGAUUUCUGAGCACAGUAUUUCACUUGUCUUCAGUUUCAACACUUCACUCAUGACUCAGGGGUAUUUCAGUACAUGUUGGCUGGAGCAAACAGACUCUGACAACCCUGCAGCAAAGAGCACAGGCUUUGUCAAAAGAAGAGAAACUUCGUGGGAUUUGCCAUUAUUUAGUAUUACUCUUGUUACGCCAAGAAUUUUUUUCCAUAUACUUUGCCAAAUAUUGCAAGUAAUGCACCAUUGUUGGGCUUACUUGUUAUAAAUCAGAUCUUGUUCAAUUAACAAGCUUUGGGUGUCUGCCACUUUCCAGUUGUAAUGCAAGGAAUCAUUUAUCUUCCCUGCUAGAUAUCACACGUAAUGCACCAUUGUUGGUUUUGCUUGUUAUAAAUCAGAUCUUGUUCAGUUAAAAAGCUUUAGGUGUCUGCCACUUUCCAAUUGUAAUGCAAGGAAUCCCCUGCCAGAUAUUGCAUGUAAUGCACCAUUGUUGGUUUUGCCUAUUAUAAAUCAGAUCUUGUUCAGCUCACAAGCUUUGAAUAUCUGCCAUUGUUUAUUUCAGGUGUAAUGCUUGGAAGCAUUUGUUCUCUUCCCUACCCAACAGUAUGCAAUGCUUUAUUGUGGAUUUUGCCUGUUAUAUUUAAUCAUGUUCAGGUAGCAAGCUUUUGGUGUCUGCCUUACCUAAUAUGUCCUGCAGUGACACUUGGCUUGGUUUCAUAAUGUGAAAUACAGCAUGUAAUUUCAUCACACUAAGUGUCUAUCAUCACGUGUCUGGCAUCAUUAAUGUGGCUUCCAGGAGUAAUCUUGUUUGUAUUACAGCAUGCAAUUUUUUUUCUGCUUUAUAUGAUAUACAUAAUCACAUAGGUAUGAUUUUUUUUUUUUUUUUUUUUUGACAAAAUGUAAUGGCAGUUGAUAUUCUUGACUAAUGCCUCAUAAACCUUGUGAAAAAUAAUGCUUUUUUGAAGGGGGGGGAGCAGAGAGUGGUUUGUUUGGUUGGCCAGUUCAAGGAGUUUCAUAUCAAAUGAUUUUAUUACAUCCAACUUUAAUGUGUGCUAAAAACAUAUAUUUUAUUACAUCCAACUUUAAUGUGUGGUUCCUGCAAUAAAUGCUACAUGUUUGAUGUAGCCUAUGAAAUACAUCACUCUCUGCCCUGUAAUUUGGUGUGUCACAUACUGCAGCAUAACUUUCCUGCUAUUUUCUUACAUUAUGAGUUGCCUUAUUUUGUCUCAUUUGCUUUUAUCAUAUGUGCCUCUGCUGCAUAGUUGUGCCUACUGAGCUUAAUAUCUUCAUGACCCUGACACCAAGGUCAGAGCUUGUGAGAUCAUACCGUGUCCUACAUUCCAUUUUCACCUCCAGGCUCGGCUGUCUCCCAGGACCACCAAGUUAUUGCAUUCCAUUUAAGACAACUCAUGUGUUACCUUCUUAAUGUCCUCUAUGAUGUAUUUCAGCAUGUUUUAUGAUGCUUUGCUCUUAUAUUGAUGUGCCUUGCAACAUUUUUAUACUGUUUUCAUUGUAUAUAACGCACCAUUGUUGGUUUUGCCUGUUAUAAAUUGGGUCAUGUUCAGUUAACAAGCUUUGAGUGUCUCCCAUUGUUUAUUUCAGUUGUAAUGCUUAGAAGCUUUUGUUCUCUGCCCUGUCAAGCAGUAUGCAAUGCUUGCCAUUAUCUGGCACUUGUACAGUUAGUAUGAUAUUUUUACUCAGCUAAGAGCAUUUUGCAAAAGGUAAAGGUAAGGCUGGGGGCAUACGCUGUAGCAGCACGUGGCCUCGGUGCUCAUCUCUGUAACAUUAGCCCAUGAGCCUGUGGUGUUAGGGAACCCAUUACCCUGGGACACAGGACCAGUGUGACAUCCGGGUUACCACAGUUGCAAAGGCAUUAUAGUAAUUUAGCAUGCAUAGAAUGUUGUAUGCUUUGCUUGUAUUUAAAGCACUGUAUAUGUUUGCUACACACACACACACACACACACAC